rnacentral:rRNA from 1 species
UUAGAUUUUAUUUAUUAUUGUUAUUAUUGAUUUAAAAAUAAUUAUUAAAAAUAAUUAUAAAUUUACAUGUUUUAGUAUUUUUUAAAGAAAAAAUAAUAAUUAUUAUAGUUUAAUAGUAUUGUGAAAGAAAAUUGAAAUAUUUUUGAAAAAUUUUUAUUUUGAAAGAAAAUUUAAUUUAUUGUACCUUGUGUAUCAGGGUUUAUUAAUUAAAAAUUAAUUAUUUAAUUUUCUCGAUUUUAAAAGAGUUAAUAUAUUAAAAAAUUUAAUGUAAUAAAAUUAUUUUUAAUAAUAUAUUAGAAAUGAAAUGUUAUUCGUUUUUAAAGGUAUCUAGUUUUUUAAGAAAUAAAUUUAAUUUAUAAAUUUUAUAUCAUUUAAUUAAUUAUAUAAAUUAAAUGAUUAUUAAAUUUUAAUAUUUUAUGGGAUAAGCUAUAAAAUAAAUUGUUAAAAGUUGUUAAAUAUAUAAAUAAAUAUAGGCUUAGAAAUAGUUAUUAUUAUUAAAAAUGUUAUAAUUUAUUUAAUUUUAUUGAUUAUUUAUUAAACUUUAAUUAUUUAUUAAAAUAUUCAUUUUAAUAUUAAAAAUGAAGAAAUAAUGAUAGAAUUAGUAUAUUUUUUGUAAAUUUAAUUUAUUUUGAAAAGUUUUAUAUAAAGAAUUCGGCAAAUUAAUGUUCGCCUGUUUAACAAAAACAUGUCUUUUUGGUUUUUAUAAAAAGUCUGACCUGCCCACUGAAUUAUUAAAUGGCCGCAGUAUAUUAACUGUGCAAAGGUAGCAUAAUCAUUAGUCUUUUAAUUGAAGGCUGGUAUGAAUGGUUGGACGAAAUAUUAACUGUUUCAUAAAAAUUUAUAAAAGAAUUUUAUUUUUUAGUAAAAAAGCUAAAAUUAAUUUAAAAGACGAGAAGACCCUAUAAAUCUUUAUAAUUUUAUAUAUAUAUUAUUUUUUUAGAAUUUAUUUAUUAUUAUAUUUAGAAAUAUUUUAUUGGGGUGAUAUUAAAAUUUAAUAAACUUUUAAUAAAAAAAAUUCAUUAAUUUAUGAAAAAUUGAUCCAUUAAUAAUGAUUAAAAAUUUAAGUUACUUUAGGGAUAACAGCGUAAUUUUUUUGAAGAGUUCAUAUCGAUAAAAAAGAUUGCGACCUCGAUGUUGGAUUAAGAUAUAAUUUUAGGUGCAGCUGCUUAAAUUUUAAGUCUGUUCGACUUUUAAAUUCUUACAUGAUCUGAGUUCAAACCGGUGUAAGCCAGGUUGGUUUCUAUCUUUAAAAAAUUAAAAUAUUUCAGUACGAAAGGACCUAAUAUUUAAUAAAUUAUUAUUUUUUUAUUGAAUUUAAUUAAUUUACUA